rnacentral:rRNA from 1 species
CACAUGCAAGUCGAACGAUGAUCCGGUGCUUGCACCGGGGAUUAGUGCCGAACGGGUGAGUACCACGUGAGUAACCUGCCCUUNACUCUGGGAUAAGCCUGGGAAACUGGGUCUAAUACCGGAUAUGACUCCUCAUCGCAUGGUGGGGGGUGGAAAGCUUUUGUGGUUUUGGAUGGACUCGCGGCCUAUCAGCUUGUUGGUGAGGUAAUGGCUCACCAAGGCGACGACGGGUAGCCGGCCUGAGAGGGUGACCGGCCACACUGGGACUGAGACACGGCCCAGACUCCUACGGGAGGCAGCAGUGGGGAAUAUUGCACAAUGGGCGAAAGCCUGAUGCAGCGACGCCGCGUGAGGGAUGACGGCCUUCGGGUUGUAAACCUCUUUCAGUAGGGAAGAAGCGAAAGUGACGGUACCUGCAGAAGAAGCGCCGGCUAACUACG